GGUCUGGGAUGGACUCGCGGCCUAUCAGCUUGUUGGUGAGGUAAUGGCUCACCAAGGCGUCGACGGGUAGCCGGCCUGAGAGGGUGACCGGCCACACUGGGACUGAGACACGGCCCAGACUCCUACGGGAGGCAGCAGUGGGGAAUAUUGCACAAUGGGCGAAAGCCUGAUGCAGCAACGCCGCGUGCGGGAUGACGGCCUUCGGGUUGUAAACCGCUUUUAGUAGGGAAGAAGGGCUUCGGCUUGACGGUACCUGCAGAAAAAGGACCGGCUAACUACGUGCCAGCAGCCGCGGUAAUACGUAGGGUCCGAGCGUUGUCCGGAAUUAUUGGGCGUAAAGAGCUCGUAGGCGGUUUGUCGCGUCUGCUGUGAAAACUGGAGGCUCAACCUCCAGCCUGCAGUGGGUACGGGCAGACUAGAGUGCGGUAGGGGAGAAUGGAAUUCCUGGUGUAGCGGUGGAAUGCGCAGAUAUCAGGAGGAACACCGAUGGCGAAGGCAGUUCUCUGGGCCGUAACUGACGCUGAGGAGCGAAAGCGUGGGGAGCGAACAGGAUUAGAUACCCUGGUAGUCCACGCCGUAAACGUUGGGCGCUAGAUGUGGGGACCUUUCCACGGUUUCCGUGUCGUAGC
rnacentral:rRNA from 1 species